UUUGAAUGUUGAAUAAACAAUGAAUAACUUUUUUAGCAUAAGUAUGUCCCAAAUAUUUCAUGGGAUAUAUUUACAUUAAAAACUAUCUGUUGUCGGGAUCCCUGGGUGGCUCAGCAGUUUAGUGCCUGCCUUCCGCCCAGGGCGUGAUCCUGGAGACCCCGGAUCGAGUCCCACAUCGGGCUCCCCACAUGGAGCCUGCUUCUCCCUCUGCCUGUGUCUCUGCCUCUCUCUCUUUCUCUCUCGCUCAUGAAUAAAUAAAUAAAAUAUUUUUUAAAAAUUAUCCGUUAUUUAUCUGACAUUCCAAUUUAGCUGGACGUUCUCUGUUUUUAUUCGCUAAAUCUAGCAACCCCACCUCCGGAGGACAUGCCUCUAAAAACUCUUCACCACCCACCCCUGCCUGGAAAUAGCCAUUAAGGCAGCUGCUAAUUAGAGCAUGUCCCCCAAGUGGCUGCCCAGCCGAGCCGUAGGCAGGGUAGAGGAGUGAGGGCUGCCUCUCUCCUUCUCCCAAACACACACACACACACACACACACACACACACACACACACACGCGUGCUGCCGUGGCCUCCCUCCUCCACCGGGGGGGCUCUGAGAUCACCCCCGGGCCUGGCUAAAAGGUUUUGCUGAAUGCAGGUGCCCAGCCUGGUCACAUGCCCCUGGGGAGGAUGGAGGAACAGCCGCAGAGCCUGAGGAUCUCGCCGCCCACGCCACCGAAACCGGAGGAGUGAAUCUUGCACAAACAAGGCUGGCUGGGUCCAGAUUUACCAUCGAGACUCUCCACUUUUGAAGGUGAUGCGAUCAGAGAGGGAGGUUUCCCUUCUGGAAGGAAAUCGGCCGCACGAGUGUGACAACAGGAGGAAGGAAUCCUGCAUGGCUUCCUGCCAGGCAGACAGAUGGACAGUGCCAGGGGGUUAAUACCCCGGAUCCAGCCCCAACCAGUGACAGACGGGAGCUGCAGGGCAACAGCCCAGUUCCCCGGCCCCUCCGGUAGCAGGAAGCUGAGGCCUGCUCUGCGCCUUGUCCCAGAGGUCCCGGUGUCAGAGCCUGCUUCAGGGGCCACAGAAACUCGAGUGAGGGCCCAAACGCUGCUAAGCUGCAGCCCCCGCUGGGGUGGAGCGGGGAGGACAAGGACGGCAGGCCCAGGACUGCAAGACCUUCCCACCUUGUCAAGACAAACCGGUAUCCACAGUUCCCUGCGAAACCUCCGGAGCUUUGAUGGCCAGCUCCAAAGAAACAACACAAAAUAAAAGAGAACAAAACAAAACGCAUCUGUGGGCUGGCUCUGGUCCUUGACCUGCUGGUUCAAAGCCGUUGGUGGCAGGCAGGCGGGGAGGGGCGCGGAAAGCCAUGCAGUGGGGGGCUUGGCUGGGGGAGGCGCUUCUGGCAACCAGGCCGCAGCCUGAGUGCGCUCGGUGGGCCAGGCCGCAGGGCCUGUUCAUGGGGCUCCAGCUGGAAGCAUCUGGAGGGUCCCUGGCGUGGCCACCGUGGCUGCAGACACAGAGUAAACAAUCAGCUGGAAUGCUUUUCCCAACACGCAGACCCUGGAGCCGCCUGCAGCCUCCCUGGACUCGCCGGGUGGGGACAGAUCCCAGGACCCCCUCCACCCGGCCCUGCCCCACAUCUAAGCUUAGGCCCAG
ensembl:lncRNA